GAGACCCUCGUCAAUAAUUGCUAGUUCUCAUUUCGAUGAGAACGCACACUAUUGAGACUGCUCCUGUAAAGGAGAGGAAGGUGAGGACGACGUCAGGUCAGUAUGCCCCGAAUGUCCUGGGCAACACGCGAGCUGCAAUGGUUCGGGCAAUGAGCUGCGACACCGAAAGGUGAAGCCAAUCUCCUAAACCGAGCCUCAGUUCAGAUUGAGGAUUGUAACUCAUCCUCAUGAAGCCGGAAUCUCUAGUAACCGUAUUUUAUCAUGGUACGGUGAAUAC
rnacentral:rRNA from 1 species